rnacentral:siRNA from 1 species
UCAUGCAGUUAUGGCCGAGUUGU